ACGGGUGAGUAAUGUCUGGGAAACUGCCUGAUGGAGGGGGAUAACUACUGGAAACGGUAGCUAAUACCGCAUAACGUCGCAAGACCAAAGAGGGGGACCUUCGGGCCUCUUGCCAUCAGAUGUGCCCAGAUGGGAUUAGCUAGUAGGUGGGGUAACGGCUCACCUAGGCGACGAUCCCUAGCUGGUCUGAGAGGAUGACCAGCCACACUGGAACUGAGACACGGUCCAGACUCCUACGGGAGGCAGCAGUGGGGAAUAUUGCACAAUGGGCGCAAGCCUGAUGCAGCCAUGCCGCGUGUAUGAAGAAGGCCUUCGGGUUGUAAAGUACUUUCAGCGGGGAGGAAGGCGAUAAGGUUAAUAACCUUGUCGAUUGACGUUACCCGCAGAAGAAGCACCGGCUAACUCCGUGCCAGCAGCCGCGGUAAUACGGAGGGUGCAAGCGUUAAUCGGAAUUACUGGGCGUAAAGCGCACGCAGGCGGUCUGUCAAGUCGGAUGUGAAAUCCCCGGGCUCAACCUGGGAACUGCAUUCGAAACUGGCAGGCUAGAGUCUUGUAGAGGGGGGUAGAAUUCCAGGUGUAGCGGUG
rnacentral:rRNA from 1 species